rnacentral:rRNA from 1 species
GACGAACGCUGGCGGCGUGCCUAAUACAUGCAAGUAGAACGCACAGUUUAUACCGUAGCUUGCUACACCAUAGACUGUGAGUUGCGAACGGGUGAGUAACGCGUAGGUAACCUGCCUGGUAGCGGGGGAUAACUAUUGGAAACGAUAGCUAAUACCGCAUAAUAUUAAUUAUUGCAUGAUAAUUAAUUGAAAGGUGCAAUUGCACCACUACCAGAUGGACCUGCGUUGUAUUAGCUAGUAGGUGAGGUAACGGCUCACCUAGGCGACGAUACAUAGCCGAACUGGGAGGGUGGUCGGCCAAAAUGGGACUGGGACACGGCCCAGACUCCUACGGGAAGCAGCAGUAGGGAAUCUUCGGCAAUGGACGAAAGGCUGACCGAGCAACGCCGGGUUAGUGAAGAAGGUUUUCGGAUCGUAAAGCUCUGUUGUAAGAGAAGAACGGGUGUGAGAGUGGAAAGUUCACACUGUGACGGUAUCUAACCAGAAAGGGACGGCUAACUACGUG